UACGUAGGGUGCAAGCGUUGUCCGGAAUUAUUGGGCGUAAAGAGCGUGUAGGCGGUUCGGUAAGUCUGUCGUGAAAACCUGGGGCUCAACCCCAGGCGUGCGGUGGAUACUGCCGGGCUAGAGUUCGGAAGAGGCGAGUGGAAUUCCCGGUGUAGCGGUGAAAUGCGCAGAUAUCGGGAGGAACACCUAUGGCGAAGGCAGCUCGCUGGGACGUUACUGACGCUGAGACGCGAAAGCGUGGGGAGCAAACAGG
rnacentral:rRNA from 1 species